AUAAAAAUAGUAAACCGAACAAAAUCAAUGGCUGUGGGUAAAUAGGUGAAAACUAUGCUUAUGGGAUAGAUAUAGGUUUUGAACUAUAGAUUCAUAGAGAUAUAGAUUGAGAAGUAUCUUUUCGGGGCCAUCUGGAUCGUCUUCAUAAAUCGGGCUCUAUCUGGCAUGAUGUCAUAGUUCUCGUGGAGAAAUAGACCGUUUUCAACAUUUUCUUCUAAUCAACACUAUUUCUAAUUUAAC
rnacentral:sRNA from 1 species